rnacentral:rRNA from 1 species
UACGAAGGGGGCUAGCGUUGCUCGGAAUCACUGGGCGUAAAGGGUGCGUAGGCGGGUCUUUAAGUCAGGUGUGAAAUCCUGGAGCUCAACUCCAGAACUGCCUUUGAUACUGAAGAUCUUGAGUUCGGGAGAGGUGAGUGGAACUGCGAGUGUAGAGGUGAAAUUCGUAGAUAUUCGCAAGAACACCAGUGGCGAAGUCAGCUCACUGGCACGAUACUGACGCUGAGGCACGAAAGCGUGGGGAUCAAACAGG